rnacentral:sRNA from 1 species
AUCAACUUUCGAUGGUAGGAUAGAGGCCUACCAUGGUGGUGACGGGUGACGGAGAAUUAGGGUCCGAUUCCGGAGAGGGAGCCUGAGAAACGGCUACCACAUCCAAGGAAGGCAGCAGGCGCGCAAACUACCCAAUCCUGACACGGGGAGGUAGUGACAAUAAAUAACAAUACGGGGUUCUUAAGGAUCUCGUAAUUGGAAUGAGUACAAUUUAAAUCUCUUAACGAGGAACAAUUGGAGGGCAAGUCUGGUGCCAGCAGCCGCGGUAAUUCCAGCUCCAAUAGCGUAUAUUAAAGUUGUUGCAGUUAAAAAGCUCGUAGUUGAAUUUCGAGACCGGUCUACUGGUCGUGCUUUUGUACGUACUGGUAUAAUCGGUUUCUCUCUUCUGACGAACUAUAAUGCCAUUAAUUUGGUGUUUUAGGGAAUCAGGACUGUUACUUUGAAAAAAUUAGAGUGUUUAAAGCAGGCUCACGCUUGAAUACAUUAGCAUGGAAUAACGAAAUAGGACGUUUGAUUCUAUUUUGUUGGUUUCUAGGAUCGACGUAAUGAUUAAUAGGGAUAGUUGGGGGCAUUAGUAUUCAAUUGUCAGAGGUGAAAUUCUUGGAUUUAUUGAAGACUAACUACUGCGAAAGCAUUUGCCAAGGAUGUUUUCAUUAAUCAAGAACGAAAGUUAGGGGAUCGAAGACGAUCAGAUACCGUCGUAGUCUUAACCAUAAACUAUGCCGACUAGGGAUCGGAUGAUGUUAAAUUAAUGACUCAUUCGGCACCUUACGGGAAACCAAAGUGUUUGGGUUC